GUCGUCACGGCUCGCAAGUCGCAGGCCACACCCACACGGGCGUGCCACUGGGUCUCGUCUGGUGCAGGUCCAGUCCAGGUGGUCGUGUCGCCGCCUCCGCUCCCGCCCGUCGCCGCUCCGCGUGUCACUCGCCGCUUCUCGUCCCAUUCCACCCCGCCCCACGGCCCUUCUCCCUCCUCGCGCGUCGCGAUGAAAUAGGCGCAGGCUUGAGCGAGAGGACCCGCGCUGGACACCACCGCAUGCUCGAGAGGAGCGGCGACGGGAGGGGAGCCGAGGACGAUGGCGCUGGCCGUGUUGUUCCGCGGCGCGCAGCUGGCGCUGGAUCUGGCGGUGGCCGGGAUGUCGCUGGCGGUGGCGCUCGCCUUCUUCGCCCUCGUCACCACCGUGCUCUGCUCCGCGGCGUUCCUCCACCACUCCAAGCCCGCCGCCGCGGCGUCAUAGCCGCCACCGCCACCGCCACCACCGCGCCCGCAACCUCUGGGGAUGGUAUAAUACUGUUGCUGGUCUAAUUCCUCCACAUCAAUUGCAGAGAAGGAGGUGCUUUAAUCGUCUGCUUUAGAGCACUUGCAGAUGCAAAGAGUAGUCGAUUGCCCACAUCAGGUGAUAGCUAAGGCUCUUGUACCACAUGUGUAUGUUUCUUUAUGUUGGUUUGUAAACUAGAUAUUUGUACUUUGUACUAUAGUUUUUGUAAUCAGUCUCUUUCCAGAUUUACAUCUCAUAUCAAUAGUAUGUGCAUUGUUUAGUUCGUAUGUCUAACAGCCAAAAAUGAAAUCCUUGUGUCAGUUGAUUUACUGUGGAUGCUUCAUCAGCAAUAUAAUUUUCUCUCUUUCAUAGAGUUUAUUA